ACUUCACAAAACUCUCCAAACAUGUGCAAAUUGCCAAGCAAAUGAAUUUUUUUUCUUGUCCUAAACCCUUUCAAGGGUUUUUAAGAUGUGUCUUUCCAUAAGUGAAAAGGAAAUGUUUUAUGCUAGAUCAAAUGAUACAGAUGCAACUAGUUUCUGGCAGAAAUUUUCAAUAGCCACUCACCAGCACUCUUCAACAUGAGGCUGUUAGUUUGGUUUUACCAGUGUGUCCUCAAUUAUCAAAUGCCUCAGAAUCACUAUAGACUUUAUAACACAGUUUGUGAGCACACCAAAAACAGAGUCUAAUUAAGAAUCCUAAUAGCCAUUUCAACUCCACCUAAUCUCAAAUCCUAAUAACUAAGUUUUGCACAUGUGGGAUGUGGGAUAGGCUAAUAGGUAUACCCUGGGCAUGUGAAUUCCAAUUAUUCUCAUUCCAUUACAGCUCCCAGAACUGCUGAGCAAGGUCAAUUUAUUAAAAGCGAAUGCUGGUAAACUGUGGUACAUCCAUACCAUGAAACACUCAUGCCCCCAAAGCUGGUUCUCUUCCUAGAUUCUCAGCAAAAGCCUCCUCCAUUGACCUAGCUGUGCAAGCCAGGGAAGCGCAGGCAUCCUCCCCUAGGACUCCCUCCCAUGGUUAAGGCUUGUCACCUUCUGAACUCUGCUCCACACCCAGCAGUAUCUUCUACAAGGACUCAUCUCCCAACCCCUGCACACUGUGGCACAGGAUCCUAAACCUCAUCUCGAUUUGUAACUUCACACGCGGAAAGGUAAAUUAAUGGAAUUUCAAAUCAGUUCUAAUCAAUAGUUUAAUAGGUAGUAAAAUACAGAGUACAAAUAAUGUGUAGAAAUCCAGAUACUGCGAUGCCCCUACUUUGUGUUCAUGAUAGGAAUUUGUUUUUUGCAGAAAAUUUAAAAAUACAUGUGUUCAACAAACCAAUUUAAUCAAAAUGCAACAACUGAUGAUUUAGGGAAUGAUAAACAUAUGUAGUAUUGGGAAAAUAAGUCAGAUGCUUAUUUGCAGCUGUUUUCUGAGGUUUCCAUUACAUCUAAUGGAAUAAUAAUCUAUUGUAUCUAACGGAAUAAUAAUCUAUUCCAUUGACAUGAAAUUUUAUGUCUACUUUCCUCCUCAUUCUAUCAUUUUUCCUUCUUAAAUGUAAAACUUCAAUAGGUUAUAAAUAACUAGCAUCCAGUAAAAGUCCACCCACAAAAACAUUCAUUUUUGUAGCCUAAGAAUAUUGUUUGGAAAAUGGUUUCUAACUGAAGGAAAAAGCUACCAGAAAAAAAAAAAAAAAAGUUCCAGCAACUAGUUUAAAAACAACACAAUCAUUGCAUUUCUCAUCUCAAAAUGUGCAGACAGUAUAUUACUGUCUUGUUUCUGGGCCUGACAGUGGAUACAGACUUUGUAAUGACAUGGCGAAUACAGUGGUAUCAAAAUUCUAUUUUAUUCUCUGUAAUCUUGCUUACGAAUGACCCAGUGUGCACUUCAAAGAUUGAUGAUUAAAGAUAGCACAGUCAUGCAAGGUGAAUAGACCAUCUCUCAGUUACUUUUUAAUGUAAAGUCUUCUAUCAAGCUAGUCACGAUUCAGAGGCUCCUCAGUCUGAAGAACCUGAAUCUUCAAAGGAAGGUGUUUUGAGAGAUGGUGAUAUAAACUUGACUGCCACUCUAAAAUCUUCAGACUGGUGUUUUGUUCAACCCACCUCUGUUCUAGUCAGGAACUGGUGAUGGGAUAGUUGCCAUCCUAAUGACCAGUGGCAAUGUAAACUCUCCCUAUAGUGUGUUACAGCACUCUAGGUCCAGCUAUUUUAAAGGACAAAGGACAGCAUAAUGCAGAACUAAAUAUGAGCCCUGGAAUAGAAAAUAUGGGCCCAGGUCCAAAACGCCAGCGUUUUGGGAGGCCCAGGCAGGUGGAUCACGUGGUCAGGAGUUCGAGACCAGCCUGGCCAACAUGGUGAAACCCUGUCUCUACUAAAAAUACAAAAAUGAGCCAGGCGCCUGUAAUCCCAGCUACUCGGGAGGCUGAGACAGAAUUGCUUGAAUCCGGGAGGCAGAGGUUGCAGUGAGCCAAGAUCAUGCCACUGUAGUCCAAUCUAGGUGACACAGAGCAAGACUCCAUCUCGAAAAAAAAAAAAAAAAAAAAAAAAUAUAUAUAUAUAUAUGCUCAGGCACUAGCUUGGCCAUUUACCAGUGACCUUGGGUAAGUUCCCCAGUCUUAGCUGCCUCACCUGGGAAGAAGCUUAAGGUUAUCCUGCGCAACCUUCUAGCCCAGGGGUGUCCAAUAUUUUGGCGUCCCUGAGCCACACUGGAAGGACUGUCUUGGGCCACACAUAAAAUACACUAACAAUAGCUGAUGAGCUAAAAAUUUUUUUAAAAGGUUCAUGUAUAAAUCUCAUAAUGUUUUCAGAAAGUUGAUGAAUUUGUGUUGGGCCACAUGCGGCCUACAGUCCAUGGGCCGCGGGUUGCACAAGCUUGUUCCAGCCAGUGUUAAGAACCCCACCUAUGAACAGUCUAAUGACGUACGUUUGACACUUUAUUUCUUAGUAUGUCAGCUCCUCUCCCUGCUGAACAACCAGGAAGCUCUUACUUGUACUCAGUAUGUGGCUCUCUGUCCUUUUCAAUGCAGUCCCAAUUCAACCCUAGAAGCAAAACAUCCCCUAGACAGCAGCUCUUCAAACGAUGUAUGAGAAGACAGGUGCUACACCCCGUGUAAGUUUUCCCUGAGCAAUCCUGAAAUGAUUUGGUUUUCUGACAACUCUCCCCAUGUCAGAUCAACUCUGGCUUGGCAGAGACCUUACAGGAACACGCUAGAGAACUCCAGACGAAUUGCAUCCCACGGAAUUCUAAUCACCAAAACCCAGCUGAUCAGAAUCACCGGGGAACUUCUGAAAACUAGUUUUCUCAUCUGCAGUGGAUCAAAAUCUUCAGGGAUCAAUCUCAGGAAUCAAAACAUUCUACUAAUCAUCCAGAUUUGAUCAAAUCAAUAUAGCGGCACUACUUAAGACAGUUUGGCUAAUGGAAAGCAAGCAGGAGGUAUGAGCUUUCCUCAGUUAUGUUUUAUACCACAGUUUAAUUAUAUGACAAAUUGUUGAGAACAGGUUUUUUUCUUUUUUGAAAUAUGGUCUCACUCUGUCAUCCAAGCUGGGUUGCAGUGGUGUGAUAAUAGCUCACUACAGUCUCAACCUCCUGGGCUCAAGCCUCCAAGUAGCUGAGACUACUGGUGCACACCACCACACCUGGCUAAUUUUUUGUAUUUUCUAGAGACAAGGUCUCCCUGUGUUGCCCAGGCUGGUCUCGAACUCCUGGGCUUAAGCAAUCCUCUUGCCUUGGCCUCCCAAAGUGCUGGGAAUACAGGCAUGGGCCACCACGCCUGGCCAGAACAGAUGAUUUUUAAAGGAUCCAGUUAUUUAGAUGCAUUAUAACAGAUGUAUAUGAUACAAAAUAGAGUAAAAUCUUUUUCUCAGGAGUUGGGGCUCUACAGUGGCUGCCUGAGUGAGAAUUCCUCAAGAGUAAUUUAGGGCCUUUCCUUAGGGAAAGGAAAGGGGAAAAUUUAGUUUGAUGGAGUCUUAGAAAUUCUAUUACCCAAUAGUAUCAUAAGUUAAUAUUCUUAAAUUGCAAUUAUACUUAGUAUUUCCAGUCCCUUUGACUGCUGUUGAUUUCCAGAUUCCCAUUUUGGGCUGGACAAUCUGACUGCAUCCCUGUGAUUUCACCAAUACUUUCCUACUCUGCAUUCCUCCACCUACCCUGUAGAGUUGUAUAAAUAUGUCCAUUUAUACAGCUGAUUUUUCUAGGUUUCCUUUGAUUCAUUCUCAUAUGACAAAUUCCUCAAGAGCAAAAACUAGGCCUUCAUCUUUCUUAAUAAUGACUUACAGUAAGGAUGGAAGUACUGGUUAUUGCUAAAAAAUCUUUUGAUAGUCUCAAACUCUUUCAAAAAGUUGAAGAGGGUGGAACAUUUCCUAACUCAUUCUAUGACAGCAGCAUUACCCACACCAAAGCCUGACAAAGACACUACAAGAAAUAAAAAUUACAGACCAAAGUCUCUGAUCAAUAUUGAUGGAAAAAUUGUCAACAAAAUACUAGCAAGCUGAAUUCAGCAGCGUACUAAAAGUAUUAUGCACAAUAACCGAGUGGAUUUAUCCCUGGAGUACAAGGAUAGUUUCACAUAUGAAAAACACUAUAAUAUAUCACACUGAUAAGAUAAAAAAAACAUGUGAUCUACUGGGCGCAGUGGCUCACGCCUGUAAUCCCAGCACUUUGGGA
rnacentral:lncRNA from 10 species